rnacentral:tRNA from 1 species
AGUAGAAUCGACUAAUGGAUAAGUCGUCUCCAAAGGAGAAAAUGCGGGUUCGAAUCCCGCUACUACUCCA